rnacentral:rRNA from 1 species
CCUACGGGUGGCUGCAGUGGGGAAUAUUGGACAAUGGGCGCAAGCCUGAUCCAGCAAUGCCGCGUGGGUGAAGAAGGUCUUCGGAUCGUAAAGCCCUUUCGACGGGGACGAUGAUGACGGUACCCGUAGAAGAAGCCCCGGCUAACUUCGUGCCAGCAGCCGCGGUAAUACGAAGGGGGCUAGCGUUGCUCGGAAUUACUGGGCGUAAAGGGCGCGUAGGCGGUCAUUUUAGUCAGGCGUGAAAUUCCCGGGCUUAACCUGGGGACUGCGCUUGAUACUGGGUGACUUGAGGGUGGAAGAGGGUCGUGGAAUUCGCAGUGUAGAGGUGAAAUUCGUAGAUAUUGGGAAGAACACCGGUGGCGAAGGCGGCGACCUGGUCCAUUACUGACGCUGAGGCGCGACAGCGUGGGGAGCAAACAGGAUUAGAUACCCGAGUAGUC